UUUCAUUUGGGUCUGAAGAUUGAAGCGCAGUACCAAGACUUGCGGUAAGUCAAAAAAACUUCACCUGAACCGGAGUUUCAGAGCGGUGGCUGUAAACAAUCAAGUGGUUACCGGCACAACUGUAACCUUUUACAUUGAGCUGAUACCAUAGGUCUAAGUGAAAUCAACUUCACUGAAUCAUUGGAAGCUGCAAAGAUUGCAACGUUAAUCCAAAAGCAUCUAAUCAAAACCCACUGAGUAACAGCCCAACCGGCAUCUUUGUUUGCGUUACGGUAAGGAAUCAAAGAAACAGGAACGACAAAAACACAAGAGAGCCUUGAAAUUGACUGAGAGAAACCAAACCCAGUAAGCAAAGGAACCCAUCUUUGCAAAUGGCAGGAGAGAGAAAGAAGAUAUUGAUGGGUUUGGCGGUGGCAAUGUUUCUCGGAAUUGCCGUUUAUUUGAGGCUUUGGUCUAUUGACUAUGCUAUUUCCUCUGAUGACGCUGAGUUGAUAAGAAGACAGUUUGAUCUCGCGAACCGGGAAGCAAUGGACGAAUCUGCUGAGUGGAGAAUGAAGUAUGAUGAGGAAGCAGAGAGGGCUGCCAAGUGUGAUAAGGAGCUGAUAGAGAUCAAGCAGAAGGUGGAUGAUGCUGCUAGUAUUAACCAACAACUGGUAAUGCUACAAAAGGCAAGUCUUUAACAUUGAACAUCCUGAAGCUUAACUUCCUCAUUUCUUUUUGUUCCUUCCACUUGGAAAACUUGGCUUUGGUCGGACGGAUUGAGGCAUUAAAAAAGGAGUUGGAUGCUGCAAAGUUAAAGUGUCAUUCCUGAUAGACAAGUACAUUGAACAGGAUUCCACCUUCAUGUCAUGUAAAUAUGCGCCUCUUAUAGCUUCUUUAGGAAAACACAUCCUGAGAGUUUUAACAAGGAUUACUGCAGUUUCUGUUGAGUUUAACAGAAGCAGAAGGUUUUUCUCAAUGCUAUAUCUUAUUUUUUUCCCUCAAAUCUAUGUACAUUUUGUAUGAGGUGUUUUGGUCACAAGAAAUUCAGGAAAUGGUACGGCUGUAUUCUUAGGCAGAAUAUGUUAAUGUUUGUUGCGUCUUCCCCUUUUUAGACAUUUACACUUGGGUAGAGAGAAAUAAUUGCUUUCUGCUGCACCGUGCUCAAUAUUGUACAUUUACUGUUCACAUUGACGAAGAAACUCAGUUCUGUAUAUUUCUUAAAUUUGAAGAUUUGCAAUUGCUUUA